rnacentral:rRNA from 1 species
ACUCCUACGGGAGGCAGCAGUGGGGAAUCUUGGACAAUGGGCGCAAGCCUGAUCCAGCCAUGCCGCGUGAGUGAUGAAGGCCUUAGGGUCGUAAAGCUCUUUCGCCAGGGAUGAUAAUGACAGUACCUGGUAAAGAAACCCCGGCUAACUCCGUGCCAGCAGCCGCGGUAAUACGUAGGUGGCAAGCGUUAUCCGGAUUUAUUGGGCGUAAAGAGAGUGCAGGCGGUUUUCUAAGUCUGAUGUGAAAGCCUUCGGCUUAACCGGAGAAGUGCAUCGGAAACUGGAUAACUUGAGUGCAGAAGAGGGUAGUGGAACUCCAUGUGUAGCGGUGGAAUGCGUAGAUAUAUGGAAGAACACCAGUGGCGAAGGCGGCUACCUGGUCUGCAACUGACGCUGAGACUCGAAAGCAUGGGUAGCGAACAGGAUUAGAUACCCUGGUAGGAUAGCG